rnacentral:rRNA from 1 species
ACGGGAGGCAGCAGUAGGGAAUCUUCCACAAUGGACGCAAGUCUGAUGGAGCAACGCCGCGUGAGUGAAGAAGGCUUUCGGGUCGUAAAACUCUGUUGUUGGAGAAGAAUGGUCGGCAGAGUAACUGUUGCCGGCGUGACGGUAUCCAACCAGAAAGCCACGGCUAACUACGUGCCAGCAGCCGCGGUAAUACGUAGGUGGCAAGCGUUAUCCGGAUUUAUUGGGCGUAAAGCGAGCGCAGGCGGUUUUUUAAGUCUGAUGUGAAAGCCCUCGGCUUAACCGAGGAAGCGCAUCGGAAACUGGGAAACUUGAGUGCAGAAGAGGACAGUGGAACUCCAUGUGUAGCGGUGAAAUGCGUAGAUAUAUGGAAGAACACCAGUGGCGAAGGCGGCUGUCUGGUCUGUAACUGACGCUGAGGCUCGAAAGCAUGGGUAGCGAACAGGAUUAGAUACCCUGGUAGUCCAUGCCGUAAACGAUGAAUGCUAGGUGUUGGAGGGUUUCCGCCCUUCAGUGCCGCAGCUAACGCAUUAAGCAUUCCGCCUGGGGAGUACGACCGCAAGGUUGAAACUCAAAGGAAUUGACGGGGGCCCGCACAAGCGGUGGAGCAUGUGGUUUAAUUCGAAGCAACGCGAAGAACCUUACCAGGUCUUGACAUCUUUUGAUCACCUGAGAGAUCAGGUUUCCCCUUCGGGGGCAAAAUGACAGGUGGUGCAUGGUUGUCGUCAGCUCGUGUCGUGAGAUGUUGGGUUAAGUCCCGCAACGAGCGCAACCCUUAUGACUAGUUGCCAGCAUUUAGUUGGGCACUCUAGUAAGACUGCCGGUGACAAACCGGAGGAAGGUGGGGAUGACGUCAAAUCAUCAUGCCCCUUAUGACCUGGGCUACACACGUGCUACAAUGGAUGGUACAACGAGUUGCGAGACCGCGAGGUCAAGCUAAUCUCUUAAAGCCAUUCUCAGUUCGGACUGUAGGCUGCAACUCGCCUACACGAAGUCGGAAUCGCUAGUAAUCGCGGAUCAGCACGCCGCGGUGAAUACGUUCCCGGGCCUUGUACACACCGCCCGUCACACCAUGAGAGUUUGUAACACCCGAAGCCGGUGGCGUAAC